GAGCUCUCCCUGGAUGGAAACUCUGUGCCAUCUUCCCUGGGAGCAUACAAGUUAGAGAGAGUUUAUCUGUCAACCAUGUCCCUGUGGUUAUACCACACUCACUACAGGGGCCUCUAGCAGGAACAAGCGUAUACUGGACCCAGAAGCAGCACAAUGUGAGAGAUGAGGUUUAUCCUCACAGCGUUUAGAGGCAGAAAAUGGGUUCCAGUGGCAGUGUGAGGAAGGAUUUACACUCAAUUGGAACUCCUGCUCACCUUUCGUUGCUGUUUGGGACAUAAAAGUUAAGCCAGCAGCCGUCUACCAGACUGCAAGAUUCUUCUCUUCAUAAAGGAUGUCAUUUCCAGAUACACUGUGUUGGGUGUGGGCAAAAAUGCAGAGUGGUACCACAAGUCACCUAAGCCACCAUUCCCCUCACAGGCAUAAGGCUCAUGGGGAUGGUUCCAGCAAAGCUCACAAUUGUAGCCCUACAAACUUCAGGACCUCUUUUUUGGGUGGAUGGUUUCAGAGAUGCGGCCAUGACUGUGGCACAUGGACAUUAUAGAUAGAGACAGUAAGGAAAUGGUGAUAGCAGAAAAACGAAACUAUCUUAAUAUGGUUUUCUGAUGUUAAAUCAACAAAGUGUUCAUAAUAUGUGGAAAAAUAAUCUCAUAGCUGAAAUCUAUUUUGCAAAUUCAUAAUAAAGUGGUGAUUUUACAUAGAAUAAGAAGGGCAAUUUCGUUGUUUGCCAUCACCUCUUGUGGCAGCAGUUAGUGCAGUGUUCUAGGGAUCAUCAUCUUUGCUGCCAUUGUCUUUGUUUGUUUUUGCAGGUGAAAUUCUCGUUCACAUUACAACUUGUAAAAGCAUGCUUAUGUUGUAAAUUAUUACUAAAGGGCCAAAAUUUAAACUCAUUAUUAGCAUGUUUUCGUUUGGUUUCAUUUCUAUUUUAUCGUGAAUUUCAAAAUGAUCCCUCAUACUUUAAUGUUCUUGCCUUUUAUAGGCACACGGGCAACUGUCAUAACAAGGCUCCAAAUAACAUCAACUUGUACCUCUGGGAUCUUUGCUUGAGUUUUUGGGCGUUUGCCAACAGCCCUUUGGCAACUGGCUGA